rnacentral:rRNA from 1 species
UACGUAGGGGGCAAUCGUUGUCCGGAUUUAUUGGGCGUAAAGAGCGUGUAGGCGGUUCGGUAGGUCCGUUGUGAAAACUCGAGGCUCAACCUCGAGACGCCGAUGGAAACCCCCGAACUAGAGUCCGGAAGAGGAGAGUGGAAUUCCUGGUGUAGCGGUGAAAUGCGCAGAUAUCAGGAAGAACACCCGUGGCUAAGGCGGCUCUCUGGGACGGUACUGACGCUGAGACGCGAAAGCGUGGGGAGCGAACAGG